rnacentral:rRNA from 1 species
GAUGAACGCUAGCGGGAGGCCUAAUACAUGCAAGUCGAGCGGUAGAGUGACUUCGGUUGCUUGAGAGCGGCGAACGGGUGAGUAACGCGUACACAAUCUACCUUUAAGAGGGGAAUAGCCCUGGGAAACUGGGAUUAAUGCCCCAUGGCAUCACGAGACGGCAUCGUUUUGUGAUUAAAGCUGAGGUGCUUAGAGAUGAGUGUGCGUCUGAUUAGCUAGUUGGUGCGGUAACGGCGCACCAAGGCGACGAUCUGUAGCGGGUCUGAGAGGAUGAUCCGCCACACUGGGACUGAGACACGGCCCAGACUCCUACGGGAGGCAGCAGUGGGGAAUUUUGGACAAUGGGCGCAAGCCUGAUCCAGCCAUGCCGCGUGAGUGAAGAAGGCCUCGGUUGUAAGACGUCUUCGUCAGGAAGAAACGGACGAA